rnacentral:rRNA from 1 species
CCCGUUCCCAUACCGAACACGGAAGUUAAGCUCUUCAGCGCCGAUGGUAGUUGAGGGUCUCCCCUUGUGAGAGUAGGACGUUGCCACCU